rnacentral:rRNA from 1 species
UGCAGGCUGCAACCCGCCUGCAUGAAGUCGGAAUUGCUAGUAAUCGCGGAUCAGCAUGCCGCGGUGAAUACGUUCCCGGGCCUUGUACACACCGCCCGUCACACCAUGGGAGCCGGUAAUACCCGAAGUCAGUAGUCCAACCUCGUGAGGACGCUGCCGAAGGUAGGAUUGGCGACUGGGGUGAAGUCGUAACAAGGUAAC